AACGAACGCUGACGGCGUGCCUAACACAUGCAAGACGUGCGAGAAAGUUCCUUCGGGAGCGAGUAAAGCGGCGCACGGGUGAGUAACACGUAGGUAACCUGCCCCCCAGUCUGGAACAACUAGAGGAAACUCUAGCUAAUGCCGGAUGAGACCACGAUCCCUUCGGGGGUUGCGGCCAAAGAUGGCCUCUACUUGUAAGCUAUCGCUGAGGGAUGGGCCUGCGGGCCAUUAGCUUGUUGGUGAGGUAACGGCUCACCAAGGCUGUGAUGGCUAGCUGGUCUGAGAGGAUGACCAGCCACACUGGGACUGAGACACGGCCCAGACUCCUACGGGAGGCAGCAGUGGGGAAUAUUGCGCAAUGGGCGAAAGCCUGACGCAGCGACGCCGCGUGGGUGAUGAAGGCC
rnacentral:rRNA from 1 species